rnacentral:rRNA from 1 species
UACGUGAGCAGCAAGCGUUGUCCGGAUUUAUUGGGCGUAAAGAGCGUGUAGGCGGCCAUGUAGGUCCGGUGUGAAAACUCGAGGCUUAACCUCGAGAUGUCAUCGGAAACCAUUUGGCUAGAGUCCGGAAGAGGAGAGUGGAAUUCCUGGUGUAGCGGUGAAAUGCGCAGAUAUCAGGAAGAACACCAAUGGCGAAAGCAGCUCUCUGGGACGGUACUGACGCUGAGACGCGAAAGCGUGGGGAGCGAACAGG